rnacentral:ncRNA from 1 species
UCGACAGGUGCUGCUAUUAAGCAGAGAAUAGGAAAGCCGGGUGAAAUGCCCGCACGGUCACGCCGCUGUAUAGGAAUAGUAUCCGCUCAAAAUGUCACUGUUAGUUAUUAGAAUGGGAAGACGAGCCGGUAUGUUAACGCCUGAGUCAGAAGACCUGCCUGCGAUAAG